rnacentral:rRNA from 1 species
AACGUAGGUGGCGAGCGUUAUCCGGAUUUACUGGGCGUAAAGCGUGUGCAGGUGGGUUAACAAGUGGUGUAUGAAAUCUCUCAGCUUAACUGAGAGCGGUUAUGCCAGACUGUUAGGCUCGAGUACGAGAGAGGGACGUGGAAUUCCGGGUGUAGUGGUGAAAUGCGUAGAGAUUGGGAAGAACACCAGUGGCGAAGGCGGCUAUCUGGACGGUUUCUGACGCUAAGACGCGAAAGCGUGGGGAGCAAACAGG